CGGGAACAGCGUUCCUUGGGGCAGCAGCAGGUUCGCCCACGGGAGGACUCGUCCCAGGCCUGGCCUCCUGCAUCCUCGCUCACGGCUCUGUAGAACUCGUGGAUUAAUAGCAGACAGGAGUCUGAAUAGCACGAAAAGUUGGUGUCUGUCUUACGCAUGGCGAGGUGCCCAAGGCUCACAGUUCACCUUGAGGCAGCUACUGCGGGCCAGACGGACGCGAGGGCUUUUUAAGAAUCCAAGCAUGUGAAUCAGCUUUGUCUCUUCUCAGGUCGUAAGUAAAGGGAAUUCUGCCUCGUCUGCUUCUUUGGCUUCACACGUCAGAGGUGUUCAUUCACCCCAUUGUGCACAUCAGUCUGGUUCUUAUC